CCCUCGAAACAAAAAAAAACGCAAACAUCACUGAAAAAGCGAGUAACGCCAACUAGAACACCAAGUCUGUCCUUUGUUCGCCAAAAUGACGAUGAAUUUCGGUAAUAUGACCCUCGGGGGUGCCAUGGCCACCUUCGGUGGUCAAUCCAACCCCAUGUGUAACUACACGAGUCCGCUGGCGAAGAAGUUCGUGUACAAAGAGGUCGGGAAGGUAUACUACCCACUCCGCCGUCACGUAUUCCGCACCAAAGUUCGCACCGCCGCGGAGAUACGCUUUAACGAGAUCGUCAAGCGGUACAUGAAGGAGAAGAUGACGUUCAAGAGGGGCUGCUAUGCUGCAACCAUCACUAACACUGUAGAACUGGACCACAUGGGCAGCAUUAUCCCGAAGGACGAGUACGAGGUCAAGCGCCUGACCAGCUAUAUGACCAGCAAGAAGAUGAGCAACGACUAUAAGAAGCACAUGCAGGAGCUGUGGACUCGUGUGCUGUUUGUGUGCGAGUCGACGAACCUGGUCGGCGUGACGGAGAACGCAAUGCACCAGAACUCACGCCCUGGCACGGAUGAGGAGUUCAUGUCCAUCAUUUGGUACUCCUCCUUCGUCACGACGUUGAUGGCGUUUGUCGUGACCCUGUGCAUCUGGUGGUACCGCUACGGUCAGGCCCCGCAGUACGCUGAGUUCAAGUAAUCGACACAACUUUUACGAAAAGGAAAGGAGAACAAAAAUACUAACUUGCUUGUUUCCGUCUUUUUUGUUGUUUGUUUCAAGUUGGGAAAUCUUAGCACUUAGGAUAUUACAAAGAGCUUCCCUUUUUUGUUCGCCGUGUUUGGGCAAAGUCGGAAAAUGAGGCGUUAUAUUGAAUCAGGGUCUCAGCGCUUUGUGAUCCUUUUUUCCGCAGCCCUAAGCACGCCUUCUUUUCUGAUUUCCUUUUAUUUUGCUGGUCAGCUCUUCAGAUUAGUGUAGUCAAGCAAAC
rnacentral:misc_RNA from 1 species